UGGCCACAUUAUGUUGAAACACUGGCUCCCAUACGAUCAUCAAAGUUAAGCAACGUCAAGUUUGGUUAUUACCUUGUUGGGUGAUUGCUUGGGAAUACCAGGUGCUGUAA